rnacentral:rRNA from 1 species
AAGGGUGCGUAACACGUGGGGAAUCUGCCGAGAAGUGGGGGAUAGCUCGUCGAAAGGCGAAUUAAUACCGCAUGUGGUUAGGGAAGACAUCUUUCCGACACCAAAGCCGGGGCAACCUGGCGCUUCUUGAUGACCCCGCGGCCUAUCAGCUAGUUGGUGAGGUAACGGCUCACCAAGGCUAUGACGGGUAGCUGGUCUGAGAGGACGACCAGCCACACUGGAACUGAGACACGGUCCAGACACCUACGGGUGGCAGCAGUCGAGAAUUUUUCUCAAUGGGGGAAACCCUGAAGGAGCGACGCCGCGUGGAGGAUGAAGGUCUUCGGAUUGUAAACUCCUGUCAUUAGGGAACAAUUGCCAGUAAGUAACUAUUAUUGGCUUGAUAGUACCUGAAGAGGAAGAGACGGCCAACUCUGUGCCAGCAGCCGCGGUAAUACAGAGGUCUCAAGCGUUGUUCGGAUUCAUUGGGCGUAAAGGGUGCGUAGGUGGCGCCAUAAGUCAGGUGUGAAAUCUCGGGGCUCAACCCCGAAACUGCACUUGAUACUGUGGUGCUCGAGUACUGGAGAGGAGAUUGGAAUU